GUAAAAUAAAGCAAUUUGCAAAAUAGGAGGGUAGCAUGUUAAUUAAGAAAACAUGUGGCCACGCAAGAGAUUUUCACAAAUGUCGGUUUUGUUUCAGAAAAAAAUGCCGUUCAUUCCAUUCUAAUCCGCUCCGCCGCCCUUCUGCCCAUUUCCUAGAGACGAGGAGUAGAUGGAGGCUCAAUUACACGGUGCAAUUCCUUCUAAGCCUCGGGUUGGGGCUACACUUCGCCUGGGGUCUGAAAUAUAUUCAGUGAAUGUAGCUAAUAAGGGUAGUCUUUCAGAGCAGUUGGCUUCAAUGAAAGAGGAAAGCAUGAACAUAUUCAAAGACUUCAUCACCAAACACAAUGUCCCAAAUGAUGUUCCUGAUGAAUUAGUUGAAAUCUCUUCUGAAGAUGAUGCUGAUGUCCCUGAGAAACCUCAUGUCAAGUCCAAGAAAACAAAGUUAACUUAAUACUUCUCUUAUUCUGGGUUUAAACCCCAAAAUUUGUAUGAGAAAGUCUUUAGAAAUGUCUGUAAACUUUCUGCAGCUAUUUCUGUCACACUAGCUUUUUCGAAUUUCACUUCCUGAUGCUGCUUGCUGAAUUAUAUUAGCUUAUGAUUCCCGCUGAUUUUCUGCUUUAUUCGUUUUAGAUGUGGUUGGUAAGACAGAUUUUUGUUUAAUAACAAUGAAGAGAAUGCAGGAAUUUGCCAAAAUACCACGGGCUGAUGCUGAACGAUUUUUUUUUUUGGUAUUACUUGAAUCAACUUCAUGGACUUAGCUGAUUGUUUAUUCAUACAGUUGCUCAUCUACCACAAAUUGAAAAACAGUCCAUCAAUAUAUAAUGGUAAGGAAGAAUGCCAGGAGCAAGACUAGCGCAAACUUUUCGCAAAGCUUCUUCUCCAUUUUCACAAGAUUCAACAGUUGCACCGAGAUUCUCAACAAUUAGCGUGGCCAGUCUGCGUAAGAGGGGACUGUCAUCAGCUACCAAGAUUCUCUUCCCACUCAAGGGUUUCCCAUCACUUCCUUCACCGUAUUCUUCUUCUAUUUCUGUCUUCCUAGCCGAGCUUCCUUGAG